CUAGCAAACCGUUUUUACGAAGUCAGCUAGUUAUACGCUUAUUUACUAUGGGAGUUUACUCUUAUAAAAUGCAAUCACGACACCUAAUGUGUGAAGUGGUGGUGAAAACAAGAAGUAAAUAAGCUAACUUGG
rnacentral:sRNA from 12 species